rnacentral:lncRNA from 1 species
AGGAGGAGAAGGCAGCCCCUGGGACUGGCUGUCAGCCAGACUGACAAACAGCCGACUUCCUCCUCCCCCUCCUCCUCCCCCUCCUCCUCCUCCUCCUCCUCCUCCUCCUCCUCUCCUCCUCCUCCUCCUCCUUCUCCUCCGUCAGCCUUAGCGGUUGUAGGGCUGGCGCAAUUGUGAUAGCCCCCCCCCAACUCCCAUCCCAUUGCCAGCCCCCCACUGGUCUCUGGGAAGGAGGAGGAGCCCCGAUUGACCCCGCCCUCGCCGGGGUCCCCUCCUUCUGUCCCUAGCUGCCAGGCAGCAGCAUCCACUAUCCAGUGCCUGCCUGCUGCCGGCGCGCUCUGUGCCCAGGGAGCAGCGGCGCUGCCCAGCGGCGCGGGAGCCGGGAGCGCGGCUGGACAGGGCAGGGCUGGGCAGGGCAGGGCUGGGCUGGGCUUACCCAGUGCUGAGGGCUCCCUGCUGCUGCUCCCGCCUGCCCGCCUUCCUGCCCGGGCCCUGAAGCCAUUGCCACUUUCUCUGCGAAAUGAGGGGUGUAAAUUGAUCUGAGACUGGUACUCACUACUGUGAUGGAGAUAAUUAAACCAUCAAGACCUCGAAGAAAUCUUCCAGCAUAUUAGCUCUUCCUCCUUCUCCAUCCCCACUCUCCAAGAUUUAUGGGAGAGUAGAGACAAGAGUCACACGUGAUGAGAAGGAAUGAAUGGUUUGGAAUCUGUACCCAUCCUGAUGAGGUAACAGAUCCACCAAGGUAUCAAAAUACUCUCAAGGUAUGGAAUCAGCG